rnacentral:rRNA from 1 species
UACGUAGGGUGCGAGCGUUGUCCGGAAUUAUUGGGCGUAAAGGGCUCGUAGGCGGUUUGUCGCGUCGGGAGUGAAAACACCGGGCUUAACUCGGUGCUGGCUUUCGAUACGGGCAGACUAGAGGCAUGCAGGGGAGAACGGAAUUCCUGGUGUAGCGGUGAAAUGCGCAGAUAUCAGGAGGAACACCGGUGGCGAAGGCGGUUCUCUGGGCAUGUCCUGACGCUGAGGAGCGAAAGUGUGGGGAGCGAACAGG